rnacentral:misc_RNA from 1 species
GUUGCGCCCCGGCUUGAACGGAGCUCUUUUUGUGGAGCGAAGCGGAACAAAAAAGCGGGAGUGGAAGACGGAAAAAGGC